rnacentral:rRNA from 1 species
AUUGAACGCUGGCGGCAGGCCUAAUACAUGCAAGUCGAACGAGUGGCGGACGGGUGAGUAAUGUCUGGGCACCUGCCUGAUGGAUGGGGAUAACUACUGGAACCCGUAGCUAAUACCGCAUACCUUCCGCUGUUCCCAGAUGGCAUUAGCUAGUUGGUGGGGUAACGGCUCACCAAGGCGACGAUCCCUAGCUGGUCUGAGAGGAUGACCAGCAACACGGGAACGGAGACACGGUCCAGACUCCUACGGGAGGCAGCAGUGGGGAAUAUUGCACAAUGGGCGAAAGCCUGAUGCAGCCAUGCCGCGUGUAUGAAGAAGGCCUUCGGGUUGUAAAGUACUUUCAGCGGGGAGGCGUUACCCGCAGAAGAAGCACCGGCUAACUCCGUGCCAGCAGCCGCGGUAAUAC